CUCAGUGAGUGGAUAUAAUAUUAUAUUAAAAAUAUUAACAGUAAUAAUUAUAAUAAAGUAUGUGUACUAGUGCUUAUACAUAAUCAUGUAACAUAACUCCACAUUGAAUACCACACAUCAGCAAACAUGAAAUUCAUACAUACAUACAUCACAAACUGCACCAAAUAGUACCCAGGGGAAAUAACUCUCAAUACUCGUCGAGAUCAUCAUCGCAUGAGUAGAGUGGGGGAAAAACCUCUUAAUACCCGGCGGAAUUUAGCUAAAUCGCUCGGAUAGAGUAACCUAACUCUCAAUACGCAUGCGCAGAGUCUACGAGAACGAGUACAUAUAUGGUGGCUAGCAAUCACAUCUCAUGACUCAAUUAAACAUAUAAUAUGCGUACAUGUAAUUCAUAACACGAUAUUAAAUCAAAAUAUCAAACAUAAAUGCUUCACAGAAUACAUAAUAGUAAUAAUAGUAUCCACUCACAGAUCAUGUUUCACUCUGGGGUUCGUUGGGGCUCUUGUAGGUUCCUGGAUUCUCGAGUUCCUCCUAAAAUACAGGGUUCGAAAAUUAACUGUUAGAACUGAUAUAAAAACUUAUACGUAUCAUGCAAACUGUAACAUAACUGCUCAAAUUUCAUAAAUCUAUUACCCAUUGAUCCAAUGGAUAUAAUUCUAACUAUCCAAUUCUAUUUUCUGUAACUUUUCUUUUCAAUUUCUCUCUUCCCCACUCUUGGCAUAUUCCUUUUCCUUCUUCCUUUUCUUUUUCUUUUCCUUCUCUUUUCUUUCGGUUUCUCUUCUUUUCUUCUCUUUGUU
rnacentral:lncRNA from 1 species